GAUACAAAGGGGACACCUGAGAAGACCGGAAAAUAACAGAAAGGGGCCCGGGAUGAAGACAUUCUGGGAAGGAAAUACCAAACAAGAGUUCCAUAGAGGAUUCUUCAGAAACCAUGUGAGCUGCAAGUGUCCCAGAUUCCAGGGAUGGGGGCGUGCUCAGACCAGCCACGCGGCUGUGGCCGUGACCGUGUGCCCAUUCACACCACCCCCUCGGGCCUCUUCCUCCUAACAGGAGCUCUCAAAAUCGGCGCUGGUGUGGAGAUGAGCCCUGCCUUGGGGACCACUGACCCGACCACGUCCCAAAGAUAAUUAACAUGGAUUCCAGGAAAUGAAAACGAACAGAAUGCUACAAAACAAAGAUUAUCCUCUGAGCCAAGCUGCUGUCUCUCUGAGAAUGUCCAGGCAAUUUACAAAUUGCAUGUUUUUUCUCUAAGUCAUUUAAGUUCAGAGGAGAAAGCAGCUUUGUUCCUGUGGUUGUGAAGUUUACCACCCUGAAAUAGACCUUCGUUUGUACAUACAAACACACGUGCACCCCAGGACUGCUGGCAUGCUCCAUUCUAUCCACGUGCCCGGUCACAUGGAGACUUUCAUGGACUGACCCCAACAAGACGCAUGGUUCAAGAACAUGCACAGCAGCCCGAACGCAGACAAUACCCAUGUAAACAAUGUCUGGAGGACCUUGCAAGUUGGCAGAACCCCGACAAAGGCCAUGUGGUGAGGAGGCUGGCGCUUCAGGGACUCUGAGGAGACGCUGGCUCUGGCAUUCUGCUGGAGGGGGCACCCCGCCAGUUUCUUAGUGGGAGAAUUGAUUGUACAAGGCCCUGUUGGCUCAGAUCAACAUAUUUCUAACUGCUGCUCCAAGGGAGAGACCCCACAGUUGCAACAUCUCCCUUCUGCUACGUGGGCUUUGCAGUUUCUGCCAGAGAAAUGAUUGAUUGGCCUCUGAGUUCAUUGCUGCUGAGAAGAUUUUGUCUAUGGGACCAGGAGCAAGAGAAAGCCAGAAAGGACAUAGUCCUGCUCUGCCCUAGGGUGACUGGCUUUCAAGGAAUUCUGUGUUUAGGGUUAGAGGCAAGGACUCCCCUCUGCAGGCCGAGUGCACGCUCGGCGGGAAGGGAGUGCUGCUUCUCCUUGGCUCAGCCACAAGCCCUUCC